AGAGCGCGGCGGCCAGGACUCGGUCAUCAGACAGUACUCCCUGCCGCGUAGAGCCAAAUGUCACAGGUUGCACAGACUGAACACACAACCUUGUUGCUAUUCCACUACUCCCCAGUGCCCUGCUGACAGCCAUCGCAGGAGUGAAGGAAGUAGCAGGGGACAGAGGGAGAGCCCCCCGUGACAGACGGAAGUCAGCUUCUCAUGGUGGACAGACCAUGUGAGGCCCAGGCAAAGCAGGUGGAUGAGUGACAAUAGCAUGUGAUCACAGACACCACUCCUGCUUUCCAUCUGUUUGGAAAUGACUUCAAAGUUCCUCAAAGCAAGCACUCUGGCAAGUGAAGCAAGUACUAAUGAGUAUCUCCUGCCUGUGAGAGACUCCUCAUAACACAAUGAGCUCCCUCUGGGAGGUCUGGGCAAUGGUGAGCUUUGCUAUAACUGGGGCUGGCAGUAAAACUUUAUAAAACUGUAAAAUAUUUUACAGAUUGGCCCUGGACCUCUUGUGUUCUUUGCACAGUGAAGCAUUGUGGAGCCAUCACACAACAUGAGGCCCUUUUACAUGUUCUGUGGCUGUGUGUGUGUUUGUGCUAUGUGAACGUGUUCCAACAAAUGACAGACUUAGUUCCGGCCUAAGGGUUUACUACAUGCUGAAGGUCUUGGUUACUCAACAACUCUACUCAAAUCUUUACUCAUCUUCUCUUUAUCAGAUAAAAAAGUCUCUUUUUCAGCCGAUUAAUGUACAGUUUAAGCAGCAUCCUGGGUUUUGAUAACUUCAGGCAAAUGCAAACCAGAAAGAUACGACAACUAUGGCUCUAAUAAUUAAAAAAGAGCCAGAGAAGAUAGCUGAGCAAACGUGAUUACACUUGAAAGCUUAAUCCCUAAUGAAAACAGAAGUGGGACAAACAGAAUUGAACCCCCUCAGUCUUUUGAUUAUUUUUGAAAAUCAGUUUGUUUAUUCAAAAUCAUUUAGGGUCUCUAACACCCAACUGCAUUCAAUAUCUCCUGAAGCACCUGUACGUAAUUAGAAACCUGUUCAUAAUUACCAACAUGUGGUACAGUUUCGCCCCAAGCAUGGCAGGCACAGCUCUAUCCAGCAAAAUAUUUACUAUGCUUCACAGAUCAAACAGAAAUGGUAUGGAAGACAGCAUAUUGCCCUUUCACUAGUAAUUAGUGUCAUAUCUCACUUCAGUUAUUGCACAAACAGAAUAGCCCCACUGUGCACAUUACCUGGCACAGCUUUCCCACGCCACUGAAUCCUCUCACGUGAAAAACAUCAGUAAAAUUGGAAGAAGUGACCAAUGUUUUAUUUUUCUGCACAACCAAAUAAAACUAUUAUUUCACAAGUA